GAGAUGGUCUCGGCUGCAGCUGCAUGAGCCCGGCGCUGGUGAUUCAGGGAUGUGUCUCUGCUCGUGACCUUUCCACCACUUGAAGUAGGAUCCUGAGCGACUAGAAACAGAAAGGAAAGUGUGAAUUAUUUAUAUUCUUCCUCCUUUGUACAUAAGCUCCUCCAGGAUUCUGCAAAAACAAUCUGUAACUGCUCUGAUAGAGACGUCGUGUAGGCUGCAUCGGUUAGAUUUACUCUUCCUCAACAAACUUCAACGGGAAAAUGAUGCUCAUCAAUGUUUAUAAACCAAAAUGUAUUUUAAGUUUCAUUAAAGCUUUGAUUUGCCAGUGUUUAAAGUACAAAAGUCUUCAAAUGCUAAAAUUACAAAAUAUAAAAGUUGACUUUUCAAAAAUUCAUAUAUAGAAAAAACUAAAUGUACAUAUAGAAAUACCUUAUAUUCACGCUCAUUGAACAAAUCUUUAUGUGAAUAUGUACGUUGUAUACCUCCAGCAAUCAAAGCUAUUUCUGUGGACGUACUUUUUCUUUCCAGAGUCAUGUGAGGUCUAUGUGACCUUGACCUUUGACCAACAUAAUCUAAUACGUAGUACACAGCAAUUAUCAAUACUAACAUGAAGAAAUAAACAAAUUGACAUUUUUCAGUACUAGCAGAAAAAGGUUCAGAAGAAAAAAUCAAGAUAUAUAUAUAUAUAUAUAUGUUUAUAUAUAUAUAUAUAUUUAAAGCAUUAAGAAGACACAGCACUUUCCAUGCAUCAUCACCUCCUGUCUGCUGAGCUUGGAAAAUGAGCCUUUCUGCACAUAAAGUAAAAACCUGGUUCUGUGGCGUUAGGAGGAUAUGUCAUUUCCAAAGAAGGAUGGAGAUGUAUUUACAUCUUUGUUCAGCUUUUUUCUCUGAAACACUUUUAUUUUAUAUAUUUUCAGACCCUUCAUGAGUUAAAUUCAAUCCAGCACAAAAAAGAAUCGUGUUCUGAAAUGGAUGAAGUAUACGUUAUAAAGAUGGACGACGUGACGGCUCCCCGAAAGUGAAGCCUGAAUAUCUUGAUCACCCCCUGGUGGCCGGCCGCAGCAUUGAUCAGAAAUCCUGCCUCCUCUCUUUAGAGACGACCUCCGGAGGAUGUCCAGAGAAGUAGAAGAAGGAUGUGACGUGUGAAUCCUGUUAUGAUCACAUGUUCUUGUUUGCAGCACAUCGGCCCUCAUCACAGAAAGACCUUGUGACAUCUUCAUCCGCGUCUUCUACAUGUGCGACCUUCAUCAUUCAUCAGGAGUCAACAGUUACUUCAAUUUCAUUUGAUUUGGCUGCAACACUGUUUGACCCCUGAGACUCCAGAAGUGUUUUGUGGACUAAGACACUUCAUCCACCACCUCCAUCGGCACAGUGGGUAUCAAGGAUUUAAAUUUCUCAACCUUCUCCUGACUUUUUACUAGACGACUGGCUGGAGGGAGUUCGCAGAGAGUCCGAAGGCUCUCAGUCGGAUAUUUGUGAAGUUCGGAGAUCAUUGAAAAUCUGAAAGCAGCUUAUGACUUAAAAGGACAAGUACAAGGCUGCAUUAUCACUGUUUUUUUCAGCAGACAGGAGAGAUGUGUGUGGAGAAAGAAAAUAUUAAAAUUCAGUAGGGAAACCUUUCAAGCGCGAGGGAAACAAAUUGCCUGUUGGUGCUGAAAGUGCAGCCUGAUCAAGGACAUCUCAACACUCAGGCAUUUUUCAUGUAAAGCAAAUAAUGACUUUUGGGGGCUUUUAGCGUGAAUAGCAUGACAAAUGAAGAGAAAUGUGAAAAAGGAACUGAUUGAGAGAGAGAGA